rnacentral:lncRNA from 1 species
ACCUAUAUAGGGGAAUUCAAACACAAGGAAAGACUAAGCACAUGAGCUUUACUUGUUAGGAUCUUUCAAUUAACUAUAUUUUUAAUCACUAAAAUACCAAAAAAUACUACAAUGCUUCCUUCCAAUAACAAUAUUCUUUCAUCAACUGAUAACAACAAUGUGCAACCUUGCACUCUUAAAAGACUAUUCAAAACUUAUAAAUUCCAUCCAACACCAAGAAUAACAAACUUCACACCAAACAAUCUAGAUUCACAUAAUUUCUGUAAUCACA